GUAUAAAAACAAGAGUGCACACACUGAAAUGUCUCGCCUUCUUUACUAAUCAUUGAUAGUAUGUUGAUAGUCCUAAAUAUAAAACUUUAUUACAACUGUCACAUAAACUUCACAUUAACCAAGAAAGCCAAACAUUGACCAAUAAACCAUGAAAUUAAGGUCAAAGUCAGAUGAACCAUUUCAGAAAGACAUGUACAGCUAACAAUUCUUUCAUACAACAAAUAUAGUUGACCUACUGCUUAUAGUUUAAGAAAAACAGACCAAAACAUUAAAACUUAACACUGAGCAAUGAACCGUGAAAAUGAGGUCAAGGUCAAAUAAAACCUGCACAACUAAUAUAUAGAUCAUAAAAUAUUUCCAUACACCAAAUAUAGUUAACAUAUUGCAUAUAGUAUUAGAAAAAAGACCAAAACUCAAAAAUUUAACUUUGACCACUGAACCAUGAAAAUGAGGUCAAAGUCAGAUGACACCUGCCAGCUAGACAUGUACACCUUACAAUCCUUCCAUACACCAAAUAUAGAAGACCCAUUGCAUAUAGUAUAAGAAAAACAGACCAAAACACAAAAACUUAACAAUAACCACUGAACCAUGAAAAUGAGGUCAAGGUCAGAUGACACCUGCCAGCUAGACAUGUACACCUUACAAUCCUUCCAUACACCAAAUAUAGAAGACCUAUUGCAUAUAGUAUAAGAAAAACAGACCAAAACACAAAAACUUAACAAUAACCACUGAACCAUGAAAAUGAGGUCAAGGUCAGAUGACACCUGCCGGUUGGACAUGUACACCUUACAGUCCUUCCAUACACCAAAUAUACAAGACCUAUAGCUUAUAGUAUCUGAGAUAUGGACUUGACCACCAAAACUUAACCUUGUUCACUGAUCCAUGAAAUGAGGUCGAGGUCAAGUAAAAACUGUCUGACGGGCAUGAGGACCUUGCAACGUACGCACAUACCAAAUAUAGUUAUCCUAUUACUUAUAAUAAGAGAGAAUUUAACAUUGCAAAAAAUUUUAACUUUUUUUCAAGUAGUCACUGAACCAUGAAAAUGAGGUCAAGGACAUUGGACAUGUGACUGACAGAAACUUCGUAACAUGACGCAUCUAAAUACAAAGUAUGAAGCAUCCAGGAC
rnacentral:lncRNA from 1 species